rnacentral:rRNA from 1 species
CAACGUGAGUAACCUGCCCUUGACUUUGGGAUAACUUCAGGAAACUGGGGCUAAUACCGGAUAGGAGCUCCUGCUGCAUGGUGGGGGUUGGAAAGUUUCGGCGGUUGGGGAUGGACUCGCGGCUUAUCAGCUUGUUGGUGGGGUAGUGGCUUACCAAGGCUUUGACGGGUAGCCGGCCUGAGAGGGUGACCGGCCACAUUGGGACUGAGAUACGGCCCAG